rnacentral:rRNA from 1 species
CGGACGGGUGAGUAAAGCCUAGGAAUCUGCCUGGUAGUGGGGGAUAACGCUCGGAAACGGACGCUAAUACCGCAUACGUCCUACGGGAGAAAGCAGGGGACCUUCGGGCCUUGCGCUAUCAGAUGAGCCUAUGUCGGAUUAUCUAUUUGGUGAGGUAAUGGCUCACCAAGGCGACGAUCCGUAACUGGUCUGAGAGGAUGAUCAGUCACACUGGAACUGAGACACGGUCCAGACUCCUACGGGAGGCAGCAGUGGGGAAUAUUGGACAAUGGGCGAAAGCCUGAUCCAGCCAUGCCGCGUGUGUGAAGAAGGUCUUCGGAUUGUAAAGCACUUUAAGUUGGGAGGAAGGGCAUUAACCUAAUACGUUAGUGUUUUGACGUUACCGACACAAUAAGCACCGGCUAACUCUGUGCCAGCACCCGCGGUAAUACAGAGGGUGCAAGCGUUAAUCGGAAUUACUGGGCGUAAAGCGCGCGUAGGUGGUUCGUUAAGUUGGAUGUGAAAUCCCCGGGCUCAACCUGGGAACUGCAUUCAAAACUGUCGAGCUAUAGUAUGGUAGAGGGUGGUGGAAUUUCCUGUGUAGCGGUGAAAUGCGUAUAUAUAGGAAGGAACACCAGUGGCGAAGGCGACCACCUGGACUGAUACUGACACUGAGGUGCGAAAGCGUGGGGAGCAAACACGAGUAGAUACCCUGGUAGUCCACGCCGUAUACGAUGUCAACUAGCCGUUG